CUGUUUAAUUUAACUUUUUUUUCAGAUACUUUAAUUAUUUUUUUUUUUUCAGGUCCUUAAAUUUUCUUUAAUUUAACUUUUUUUUUCCAGAUUAAUUUUGCACUAAUUUUGCCUUUUCUUUUUUUUUCUAGGGAUUAAUUUAUUCUUUUGUUUCUUUUACCUUGAUUUUUUUUUCUUUUCAAACCUUUCUUUUUUUUGUUUUAGCUUUAAUUUUGAAUUUGUUUUCACUGAAUUGAAUUAAAUUUUCGUGUCGGAGAGAUGACUUUAAAGAUGACGUUGGAGCCACUUGACGACUCAAAAAAAAGAUCUGGGUGUUACUUUAGUUUGUUCGAUGAUUAAUUCUACUCGAAUUUAUUCGAGAAUUUGUCCUACAACUAAAAUAACGAAGGAAUGAAAUUUUAAAUUAGCUCUAUCUCAUUUAUAUAUAAUUAAUUUUUAGGUUUUUGAAUUCUUACCGAUGGGGUCGAUGAAUUGGAGACUUUCUCAGACACGGGGUCAGAAAUUUGCUUAGACCCUGAAGAACCGAAUCGAAUUCGAAUCCAGAUUCUCUGGAGACGGUGGCUCUUCAGGACAAUUAAUUUUUGUUCAAACGCUGUGGAUAAAACGUUUCACGAAAAUUUUGUUUGCUCCUACAAAACACCGAAACUGUUUCUGGGACCAAUCUUUAAUGGAUCCUUCCCUACAGGAUGACAUUUCUGGAUCGUUGAGGAUCUUGGAGACUCAACCACUGAUGGUGAUGUACCUUAAGGGUUUUGGGUUAAUACACCCUGUUGUUGCGAGUUUCAAGAAUUCAAGCAAUUCACUUUUUGGAAGGAGACUCUAGGUUAAUUCCUAAUUGGGAUAUUUUUUUUUUUCUUUUAUGUGGUUUGUGAUGUCGAUUGCAAAGAAAAUAUCUUACCUAACGGGGAAAUUCUUUUUGCUGUAUAUUCCAGAUCACUUCGACACAAUCAGGAUGUACUCCCGUCGACCGACGAAUGCUUGCCUUGUUUGUGAAACUUGAAGGGGCAAUUGGAUUUCGUCGACUCUGGUCUGGGGUUGUAAAUUUUUUUUUUUUUUUUAGAAAGGAUCUCGUGUGGUCUGGCCGACAGGACAGAGAUACCCUUUAAAUAUAGUCGACAACUCGACUUUGUUUCCUAUACCAAAAAAAAAAUUAUUUAAUUUUUUUACCUUCUUUCUUUUCUUUUACGUUUCGUGUAUCUUUACCUUUUUUUUUUUGUUGGUUUGGGGGAUGAAUUGAUGCUUUGGUUUAUCUUUAUUUAUUUUGAUUUGUUCUUGUUUUUUUUUUACGUUCUUAUAAUUUUUACUUUUGUUAUAUGUAGGUACUUUUUUUGUUUUUCUAUGCAGGUUGGACUUCUUAUUCGCACGGUGGCUCGAUGGAAAAGAAUUUGUCGUGUGCAUUUUUGCAACACAUAAACUUCAUAAAAAAAAUUCUUUUACAUUGGGACGGAUGGAAAUAAAACGAAAACGGAUAUCAAUGGCUGAUCGGUAUGGGACGACUCAGAACAUCGGGUGGAUGUUCGUGGACAUUCCACUCAGCGAAACUUUCCACCCACUACACAAUGGGUUUAAGCUCGAUGCGCAAGUUUUUGUUAAUUUAUUAGGACAGGGUGUGUCGGUGAUUUUAUUUUUCUUUGGCGAGUGAAAUUAUUUGUUUAAUAUAUUUUUGUUUUGUAUUAAUGUAGUGUUUGAUUUUAUUUUUAAUGAAAUAAAUUGCAUUUCUUUUUAUGAAA